GAACUGGAGAGUUUGAUCCUGGCUCAGAUUGAACGCUGGCGGUAGGCCUAACACAUGCAAGUCGAACGGUAACGGACCGCUGGGAUUCCUUCGGGAUGACCUUGGUGCCGACGAGUGGCGGACGGGUGAGUAAUGCUUGGGAAUCUGCCCAACAGUGGGGGAAAACUCGGGGAAACCCGGGCUAAUACCGCAUAAUCUCUACGGAGGAAAGAGGGCCUCUACAUGUAAGCUCUCGCUGAUGGAUGAGCCCAAGUCAGAUUA
rnacentral:rRNA from 1 species